UCUUGGGUUAAAGGAAGCGCACCUAAUGAAGCAACAGUCAGCUGUGCACACUGUUGCACCCCUGAGUGCAGCAACCUGAAGGGAAAUGCUUCUGUUCUGCUCAGAAUUUCGGGAGGAAUCUUGUAAUUCAAAGAGUUUCCCAUGAAGCAGCAGUCACAGAAGAGUGACAGCACUUCGUUUGCAUCAUCAGGCAGCGAGAUGCUGACAACAGGAAACAUAAAGGUGCAGAGCAGAGGUGAACAUCUGCUGCUCUGACUCCAGCUGAGAGAGAUUAUGAGGACCAGGCCUCCUGUAACUGCUCUGGGAGGAGGGAGGAGCCUAUGGCAGGACCUGCUGAUCAUUGAGAAGAAGGAAUUUCAUGGUCAUCUCCUGGGAGGCUGAGGAAAGACAGAUUCCAGUGUAUGCAUCGCCUGAGGGUCCGUCCUGAAAGGCCAUGUUACAUCAUUGUUGCUUGUGCAAUAUUGCACACUGAGGUGCCACCACCAUAUGAAGAGCCAGUACCCGAUGAUGAUGAUAUAGGCCAGCAUUAUGAUUUGAGGAAAGGUCAUCAUGUGUGUGAUCAAAUCUGUCAAAACCACAUUAAAUGGAAGAA